CACGAUGGCCAUACGAUCCAUCAAGUAUCAUGAAUCUACUUUUGGAAGGGAUGCAUUUAUUAGAUAAAAAGUCGACAUAAGCUUUGCCCGUUGCUAUGAUGAUUCAUGAUAACUUGACGAAUCACACGGCCAUCGUGCCGGCGACGCAUCAUUCAAAUUUCUACCUUUAUCAACUUUCGAUGGUAGGAUAGUGGCCUACUAUGGUGGUGACGAGUGAUGGAGAAUUACGGUUUGAUUCUGAAGAGGGAGCCUAAGAAAUGGUUCCCACAUCCAAGGAAGGCAGUAGGCGCGUAAAUUACCCAAUCUUGACACGGGGAGGUAGUAACAAUAAAUAACAAUACCAGGCUCUUUAAGACUGGUAAUUGGAAUGAGUACAAUCUAAAUCCCUUAAUGAGGAUCCAUUGGAGGGCAAGCCUGGUGCCAGCAACCGCGGUAAUUCCAGCUCCAAUAGCGUAUAUUUAAGUUGUUGUAGUUAAAAAGCUUGUAGUUGGACCUUGAGUUGGGUUGACCGGUCCGCCUCAUGGUGUGCACCGAUUGGCUCAUCCCUUCUACCGGUGAUACGCUCCUAGCCUUAACUAGUCGGGUUAUCCUUCCGAUGCUGUUACUUUGAAGAAAUUAGAGUGCUCAAAGCAAGCCUACGCUCUGUUUAUAUUAGCAUGAGAUAACAUCAUAGGAUUCCGGUCCUAUUGUGUUGGCCUAUGGAAUCGGAGUAAUGAUUAACAGGAACAGUCGGGGGAAUGCCUAUUUUAUAGUUAGAAAUGAAAUUCUUGGAUUUAUGAAAGACAAACAACUGCGAAAGUUAACCACCCGCGGUGGUGGCGUAGGUGGUUGAGCAAGGGAACUUUUCACGAGAGGUCCCGAGUUCGAUCCACGGCGUCGUCGAGCUUUA
rnacentral:ncRNA from 1 species